rnacentral:lncRNA from 1 species
CUACUAUACAUUCUGUUACACCUGAUACAAUCCCAUACAUGAUCACACGAAUAACAAAAACAUAAUUAUUGCAUGAACCAAAACUCGACCUGUACAUGCAUCAUAACUAAAAACAUAAAAUCCAUACUACAGCCCUCAUCAAAUGCUCCAGUAUGGUCAACAUAACAUGUCUUAAGCUCGGUUCGAAUAUAACUUAUACUUAAAAACUUUUACAUAAAAAGAUCAUGAAGCAGGGAUUACAAGGAGAAACACGGGCAAAGCACAAUUCUAAUCCACAAAUUAAUACAUGUCCACAGCUAUACUAUUACAACAGGCUAUACCAGCAACUCAGCCGACUUCCCGAGUUAACUCCGACCCUGCAAACUUAGGGUUAGGGGAAAGGGGAUAAGCUAUAAGAGCCUAGUGAGCAUAACAUAAAAACAGUUCAAUAAAACAUAUGAUCUAUGAAUGCGUCACAACACAAACAAUUCACAUCAAGAUGGACUUGUCACCAGUAACCCUCUAUAGGUUCCAACAGUGCUCAGCUCACAACGGGUGCUCCUCAGAACUUUCUCUUAAACAUAACAUAAUAUGUCCAUAGUGCUAGGAGCGUAGAAUGGGCAACCCUAGUCUUUCCAUAUCCGUCAUAACAUAUCAUACUAUACUCGAGAGCUAGUAGGUCAUCCAACGUCCAUCCACAAUAUAAAUAAUUUAUGCAAUGUAUUAUAUUCGUGAACUCUAAUGCAAAACAACCUAAUCGUAUAUACAUGACAUUCGUGGUGCAUGAACAUGCUUAAAAAGUUUAAUUUUUUUAAAAUAAUAGAUCAGUUUAGUUCUACUCACCUCUGACUGAUGCACGCCUAAUACUGAAGCAAUUAUCUUACUGCAAGCCUCUAUAGUCUCUCAAUGUAACGACUGAGAAACUGGACCGCUACCGGCGCUAGGGUUCAAAUCGACUUAAGAUCGCUGGAACCCAUAGCAAGCUUACUAGACAUCAUGUUACACCUGAUAAAAUCCCAUACAUGAUCACAUCAAAACAUAAACAUAAACAUUCCAUGAACCAAGGCUCUACCUGUGCAUGUAUCAAAACUGAAAACAUAAAACCCGUACUAGAGCCCUCAUCAAAUGCUCCAGUAUGGUAAACAUCAUAUAUCUCAAGCUUAGUUCAAACAUAAACUCAUACUUAAAACUUUUACAUAAGGAUCAUGUAAACAGAGAUUACAAGGAUAAAAACUAGGGCAAAGCACAAUUCUAAAAUCAUAAAACAAUACAUGUCCACAUCUAUACUAUUACAACAGACUGUACUAGCAACUCAGCCGAGUUUCCUGAGCUAACUCUGAUUCUGCAAACCUGGGAUUAGGGGAAAAGGAUAAGCUACAAGAGCCUAGUGAGUAGAAUAUAAAAACAGUUCAAUAAACAUAUGAUCGAAUGAAAUGCGUCACAACACAAACAAUUCACAUCAAGAUAGAUUUGUCACCAGUAACCCUCUACAAAUUCCAAUAAUGCCCAGCCCACGAUGGGUGCUCCUCAGGACUUCCUCUUAAACAUAACAUAACAUAAUAAAUUUAUAGCGUCAGGGGCGUAGAAUGGGCCUCGACUUGGACUCUCUCUUACAUAUUGCCAGGGGCAUAGAAUGGGUCUCGACCUGGACUUCUGUAUACAUCACAACAUAUCAUACUCGAGGGCUAGUGGGUCAUCCAACAUCCAUCCACAACAGUAAAUUAUGCAAUGCAUCAUAUUUGUGAAUUCUAAUGUAAACAACCUAAUACAUAUGCAUAGCAUUCGUGAUGCAUGAGCAUGCUUAAAAGGCUUUAUUACUUUAAAAAAAUAGAUUACUUCAGUUCUACUCAUCUCUGGCUGACACUCACCUAAAACUGACGCAGUUAUCUCACUGCAGGCCUCUACGGUCUCCCAGGUCCGACCCUACAUAGAUGGACUCAAAUGAGAGACCAAACAUAACUUUUACAAGACUCUAAACAACUCCCCAAGAACCCCCUAAAACAUACCAAAACAUGCA